rnacentral:Y_RNA from 1 species
AGCUGGUCCGAUGGUAGGAGGUUUCAGAACUUAGUAACAUUACUGUCACUAAAGUUGGCAUUCAACCCCCACUGCUAAAUUUGACUGGCUUAAG